rnacentral:rRNA from 1 species
UGGUCUAAUACCUUAUAGUAUCCAUCUCGUAUGGAUUAAAGCUUUAUGCGCUUUGGAGGGGCCUGCGUUUGAUUAGCUAGUUGGUGAGGUAAAAGCUCACCAAGGCGACGAUCAAUAGCUGGUUUGAGAGGAUGACCAGCCACACUGGGACUGAGAUACGGCCCAGACUCCUACGGGAGGCAGCAGUAAGGAAUCUUCCACAAUGGGGCAACCCUGAUGGAGCAAUACCGCGUGCAGGAUGAAGCGUUUCGGCGUGUAAACUGCUUUUAUCACCGAAGAUUAUGACUGUAGGUGAAGAAUAAGGACCGGCUAACUACGUG